rnacentral:rRNA from 1 species
UGGUCUGUAACUGACGCUGAGGCUCGAAAGUAUGGGUAGCAAACAGGAUUAGAUACCUGGUAGUCCAUACCGUAAACGAUGAAUGCUAAGUGUUGGAGGGUUCCGCCUUUCAGUGCUGCAGCUAACGCAUUAAGCAUUCCGCCUGGGGAGUACGGCCGCAAGGCUGAAACUCAAAGGAAUUGACGGGGGCCCGCACAAGCGGUGGAGCAUGUGGUUUAAUUCGAAGCUACGCGAAGAACCUUACCAGGUCUUGACAUACUAUGCAAAUCUAAGAGAUUAGACGUUCCCUUCGGGGACAUGGAUACAGGUGGUGCAUGGUUGUCGUCAGCUCGUGUCGUGAGAUGUUGGGUUAAGUCCCGCAACGAGCGCAACCCUUAUUAUCAGUUGCCAGCAUUAAGUUGGGCACUCUGGUGAGACUGCCGGUGACAAACCGGAGGAAGGUGGGGAUGACGUCAAAUCAUCAUGCCCCUUAUGACCUGGGCUACACACGUGCUACAAUGGAUGGUACAACGAGUUGCGAACUCGCGAGAGUAAGCUAAUCUCUUAAAGCCAUUCUCAGUUCGGAUUGUAGGCUGCAACUCGCCUACAUGAAGUCGGAAUCGCUAGUAAUCGCGGAUCAGCAUGCCGCGGUGAAUACGUUCCCGGGCCUUGUACACACCGCCCGUCACACCAUGAGAGUUUGUAACACCCAAAGUCGGUGGGGUAACCUUUAGGAACCAGCCGCCUAAGGUGGGACAGAUGAUUAGGGUGAAGUCGUAACAAGGUAACCA